UACGAGAGGCCCAAACGUUAUUCGGAAUUACUGGGCUUAAAGAGUUCGUAGGCGGCGCAGAAAGUAGGGUGUGAAAGCCCUCGGCUUAACCGAGGAAUUGCGCUCUAAACUACUGUGCUUGAGGAACCUAGAGGUGAGCAGAACUGAUGGUGGAGCGGUGAAAUGCGUUGAUAUCAUCAGGAAUACCGGAGGCGAAGGCGGCUCACUGGGGGUUUCU
rnacentral:rRNA from 1 species